GCCUUCGGGAACUCUGAGACCGNGUGCUGCUNUGGCUGUCGUCAGCUCGUGUUGUGAAAUGUUGGGUUAAGUCCCGCAACGAGCUCACCCUUAUCCUUUGGUUGCCAGCGGUCCGGCCGUGGAACUCAAAGGAGACUGCCAGUGAUNAACUGGAGGAAGGUGGGGAUGACGUCNAGUCAUCAUGGCCCUUACGGAGUAGGGCUACACACGUGCUACAAUGGCGCAUACAAGAGAGAAGCGACCUCGGGAGAGCAAGCGACCGNNUUUAACNGUGCGUCGUAGAGGCGGGAUUGGGAGUCUGCAAGCUCGACUNCCAUGAAGUCGAAAUCGGGUGUAAUCGGUACGAAUCAAAAUGCUACCGGUGA
rnacentral:rRNA from 1 species